rnacentral:lncRNA from 1 species
UCCAACUGAGUCAAAUGUCGUGCCGAUAGUGGGAGUGACCACAUGGUCUCUUGGAUUCUCAGCAUAGUUCCGAACAGCCUUCUCAAAUGCACUGACACGGUUUGGGCAAGGCAGGCGGCUAGGUGCAACUGCUCCGAUCAGCAACCUGCAAAUUAGAUAGGACAUACUUACAUACAAUUCAGUCACCAAGUACCUAGUUCAACCUACACAGCAGAAAAACACAGAGCAACAACUUGGGAAAUAACUCUAAUUUCAUACAGACCUUCAUUAAAGCUAAACCGCCAAGUGCCAAUCAAAUAAACAGGGCAAAGAUCAGCUAUGCUAUCUACAGUGCUAUCCUUUCAGCCGAGCCUCCUACUACUCGUAUACAUUCGGUUCUAACACCCAUUCAAAUUCAUUUGGUACAAGAUAUUCUACCAUUCUUGGUAAUAAUUGAAAAAACAUCUAGUUGCAGUUGCUGAGGCACAGCUGCAAUGCACGAAACUCUUAUUCCAGCCUGGAGCUCGUGGGUUCAUCUUCCCGGUUGAAAGCUCAGAGAUUGGUGGAGAUGUGUCUCUCCUCUCCGCCCCUGCUUCACUCACCAUCAUCAUCUGUGCCUCCCCUGUGUCAAGCGGCUGAUCCUCCGCCCCCAACUGCUUUGCUGCUAUUUCCUCCAACGGAAACUGUGGCUGAACGACUAUAC